AGGGAGUCGCAGCGCGAGUCGUCCUCCUUGGACUGCUGCUGGCCUGUGUUCCCACGGCACUGACCAGUAAGGUUGGAGUGGUUGGUGGAGAGAACAGCGAGGUCAUCUGCAAAGUCCAAGUCUUCCAGCUGGGUGAACAGGGCCCACUGGAUGCCUCUGGGUUUAUGGGAUGUGGUUUGGGUUAUGAUUCAGUGGUAAGGAGGAAGAGGAUAGGAGAGAUGAUGCACCUUUUGUCUCAAUGCAGAGAUGGUAUUACAUAUGAAGACCCCGCAUUCAAAGUGUUCAUAUAAUUGUCCUAUGAUUGAACUCUUAGAAAGAAAUAUGCUAUCUAGAACCUAAGAGGGUUCUUGAUAAGGGAAUUAUAUGCUUAAAGUUAAUGAUUAAAAUAUUCCACCCUGAAACCAUAUAAUUGUAUGAAAUUUAUAAGAAUCAUAAAUCUUUAAUCUGAUGAUGUGUAUAGUUUUAGUCAGAAUUAGAACAAGGACCUUUCGCUCCUUUUUAGUAUGUAAGCAGGAUGCAAGUGUGAAACAGGUAAGAGGAGCUAUCGACAGACAAGUUGUACUACUGUGUUCCUUACAGGACAUUCUGUCUCCACCCGUGGAGGGGAGAAACUGUUAGGCUUGCAGAAGAUUAUGAAACAUUAGAUUAAAGAAACAACAGAUUAUGAAACAACAGAUUAAAGAAACAAUGUAUCUGUGUAGUGGAAAAACACAGACUGUCUGAGCAAGGCGUAGCUUAAGAUUUGAACUUGUUUGUGUGUGUUAUAAAGACUGUGUUUGCAUUUUUGACUUUAGAAAGUUCUCGUGAAUAAACAGUACUAACCUUUUGCAUAAACUGAGUCUUUGCCUAAUUAUUAUUAAACCCAUGGUCUUACAAACCUCAGGGAUUAGUCAAAGUUUAAUGAUUGUUAGUUAUUAUCAUUGAGAUUGAAAAUUCUCUUGACAGUUCUUCAGCUGUUUCCAUAGGAUAACCCAUUUAAGAACCCUUUUUGGUUCCAGGUAGAACCCUGUUGGUUCCCGUUGGAAAUCUUUUUGGUUCCAUGUAGAACAUUUUCUAUAGAGGGUUCUCCUAUAGGGAAAGCCGAAUAACUCUUUUGAAACCUUUUUUUCUAAGAGCGUAAUGAUCUUCGAUGGAAGCCCAUAGGAGCU
ensembl:lncRNA